GGAUGUGAGGACGAUCUGGCUGCGACAUCUGUCACCCCAUUGAUCACCAGGGUUGAUUCGGCUGAUCUGGCUGGCUAGGCAGGUGCCCCCUUCCUCCCUCACUGCUCCAUGUGCGUCCCUCCUGAAGCUGUGCUCUCGGUUGAAGAGGACGGCCUUCCCCGAAUAGAGACAGACCAGUCUUUGGUCGAGGGUAUUUGAGGAACUGUGCUUCCCUGCUAGAACCUCCAAAUAAGCUCUCAAGUAGCCUCUUAGAAAGUUUGCUUAGACUGUUUGAUUUGAGGGUGUGGGAACUAUUUCCCUUCUCAGAAAUAUCUUGCCCUUAUUUUGUGAGGAAGUAACUUCU
rnacentral:snRNA from 1 species